UGGGGAAUAUUGCACAAUGGGCGCAAGCCUGAUGCAGCCAUGCCGCGUGUGUGAAGAAGGCCUUCGGGUUGUAAAGCACUUUCAGCGAGGAGGAAGGCAGUCGUGUUAAUAGCACGAUUGAUUGACGUUACUCGCAGAAGAAGCACCGGCUAACUCCGUGCCAGCAGCCGCGGUAAUACGGAGGGUGCAAGCGUUAAUCGGAAUUACUGGGCGUAAAGCGCACGCAGGCGGUUUGUUAAGUCAGAUGUGAAAUCCCCGCGCUUAACGUGGGAACUGCAUUUGAAACUGGCAAGCUAGAGUCUUGUAGAGGAGGGUAGAAUUCCAGGUGUAGCGGUGAAAUGCGUAGAGAUCUGGAGGAAUACCGGUGGCGAAGGCGGCCCCCUGGACAAAGACUGACGCUCAGGUGCGAAAG
rnacentral:rRNA from 1 species